rnacentral:sRNA from 1 species
GGCUGGCUGGUUUUUGGCGCUCUUGGAGUCAUGGGCGAAAGGUGUCCGACACUUGGUCCCCUCAUGCAUAUCGACGUAAAGGAACAGCUUCAGUUUCACUUCAAUUGUUUCCGCCAUGGCAUUCAGCCUGCUAAUUCCCAUUCCCGCAACAGGGUUGCCUCUCCGCGUUUUGUCAAUCGCGCGAAGAUGUAAUAACCUACAUCCAUCCGGAUCGCACGGUAGGUGCUAAUCAUCAGGCUGCAGGACAUUGAUAGUUAGAAGGACCGAUAUUGCAUAAAUUCAACCGAUCACGGACCCCGCAAGGCUGAUUUACCUACUUGCCCACAUCUCUUCGGCGUCUGUUACCCUUGGCCACUUGCGAUAAAUCGGGGAUAGGGCUGAACAAACGUUGAG